GAUGAAGAACGUAGCGAAAUGCGAUAAGUAAUGUGAAUUGCAGAAUUCAGUGAAUCAUCGAAUCUUUGAACGCACAUUGCGCCCCCUGGUAUGCCGGGGGGCAUGCCUGUUCGAGCGUCAUUUCACCACUCAAGCCUCGCUUGGUAUUGGGCGACGCGGUCCGCCGCGCGCCUCAAAUCGACCGGCUGGGUCUUCCGUCCCCUCAGCGUUGUGGAAACUAUUCGCUAAAGGGUGCCGCGGGAGGUCACGCCGCAAAACAACCCCAUUUCUAAGGUUGACCUCGGAUCAGGUAGGGAUACCCGCUGAACUUAAGCAUAUCAAUAAGCGGAGGA
rnacentral:misc_RNA from 1 species